ACCUGAGUAUAAUACCCCAUAGGCCUAGGAUGCUGGAAUGCUUCUAGGCUGAAAGCUCCGGCGCUCAAGGAUGAGUCUGCGACCUAUCAGGCUGUAGUGGGUGUAACGGACCCACUAACCUUCGACGGGUACGGGCCUUGAGAGAGGUUGCCCGGAGUUGGACUCUGAGACACGAGUCCAGGCCCUACGGGGUGCAGCAGGCGCGAAAACUUCACAAUGCGGGAAACCGCGAUGAGGGGAUUCCAAGUGCUAACACAUUGUGUUAGCUGUUCAUUUGCCUAAAAAGCUGGUGAAGUAAGGGCCGGGUAAGACGGGUGCCAGCCGCCGCGGUAAUACCUGCGGCCCGAGUGGUGGUCGUUAUUAUUGAGCCUAAAGCGUCCGUAGCCGGUCUAGUAAAUCUCUGGGUAAAUCGGGCGGCUUAACCGUCCGAAUUCCGGAAAGACUGCUAGACUUGGGACCGGGGGAGGUUGGAGGUACUCCUGGGGUAGGGGUGAAAUCCUGUAAUCCUAGGGGGACCACCAGUGGCGAAGGCGUCCAACCAAAACGGCUCCGACGGUAAGGGACGAAGCCCUGGGGCGCAAACGGGAUUAGAUACCCCGGUAGUCCAGGGUGUAAACGCUGCAGGCUUGGUGUUGGGGGUCCUACGAGGGCGCCCAGUGCCGGAGAGAAGUUGUUAAGCAAGCUGCCUGGGAAGUACGGCCGCAAGACUGAAACUUAAAGGAAUUGGCGGGGGAGCACUGCAACGGGU
rnacentral:rRNA from 1 species